rnacentral:snRNA from 1 species
AUCUUUUGUGCAGAGUGCAAUAACAGUAUCCAUGAAGGUCUCCUGAGGUCUGUUUAUUCGCUAUUUGAAAACAAUCAAUCCAUUCCAGUAUCAGGUGCCUAACGGCCCUGGUCAAUUUUUAACACGCCGCUUCGUGCGGG